UACGGGGGGGGCAAGCGUUGUUCGGAAUUACUGGGCGUAAAGGGCGCGUAGGCGGUUCGCUAAGUUGAAUGUGAAAACUCUGGGCUUAACCCAGAGCCUGCAUCCAAAACUGGCGAACUGGAGUACUGGAGGGGAAAGCGGAAUUCCUGGUGUAGCGGUGAAAUGCGUAGAUAUCAGGAGGAACACCGGUGGCGAAGGCGGCUCUCUGGACGGUGACUGACGCUGAGACGCGAAAGCGUGGGGAGCAAACAGG
rnacentral:rRNA from 1 species